rnacentral:lncRNA from 1 species
UGCAAAAAGUAUUGACAGCUUGGCGCUGCCUUUCAAUGGGCUUACCAUGCUGCUUUCCAAACCAGAUUGCCUUCAUAAUCAAUCCUGGGAAGAGGAAUAAACAGCCCUCAUGCAAUUAAUUUUCUAUACGAAUUGGUUCAUACCCCCUACUCUUUUCCUUUAGCAGGUAAAUGGUUGCAGAUAGAAGAUUUAUUAGAGAUUUUACAUCCAGCCCAUGAGGAUUUUGACUGAUUCCAUUGAGCAGGCUCAGCCAUUAAAAGAAGUCUUCGACUGGAUGACAAGAGCUAAAAGCAAUACUGCAUGCACCCUUACUCUGGUCUUCUUCAUUUCUGCUGUGCAAUGCUACUACCUUCAGCAACCACACUAAAUACUGGGUGCCAAAUGAUAAUGCUGAGCAAAUGCACACCAAUUAAAACGUGAUUAUACCUGUCCUGUGGAUAAGAAUCUGCAAAACCGAAGAAUGGAGCUGAUAAAAUGCGCAGUGGGAGGGAGAUUUUGUUGGAGCAUGAAACUAUACGGCAUGUGAGUUCUGCCUUUUUUGCCUCCUAACUGUUGAUACCCAACUACUUUCAGCGCAAAUUGAGCUCAUGUGUCUCCUCCUUGCUACUCUGUCUUGUUUAGUUUUUGUAGGAUCCAUGAUGGUUAGAUGAUAGAAUCAUUAAAUCUUUCUACUCCCCCGCCCCCGCUUUUAAGAGGUUAAAAGUUAAGGACCAAGGUUAAGUGAUUUGUCCAGGGUCACAUACUGAUGUUAACACGACUGAAACCCACAUCCCUUAACCUCCCAACGAAUUAUGUUGAAUGCUUCAGUGCAACACACAUUUAAAUUUUUUACAACCCGCUCUUCCUAUUAUAUCCAGAUACUUGUCAUGUCUCUGACCCAGACCUAAUAUUCCUAAUGGCAUUGAUAAGAGUUAAAUCUGCAAAAAUAUCUCAAGAGCUUCAGAGGCUGUUCUUCCUUUAGUGAUUACUUGUUAAUUGCAGGUCUGUCCUUCAGUUUUGGGAAUUGCUGAUGGGACCACUUUUAGACAGUGGCUGAUAUGACAAAUACAUUACAUAUGAAAGCCAUUCAAUUCUGUAAUAAAACCCCAGGUCAAGCGAACAUGUCACCAG